rnacentral:lncRNA from 1 species
GUUUAAUGUUUUUGAGGAAAGUGAUGAUAUGAAAUUGUCGCCCCAGGCUUAAUCUGCAUCCAUUACGAUGGUUGUAACAUGGUGAUUGACUAUUUUUGUCUGAUUCUCUCAAAUCGUUUAUUAUGAUUCUGUUAUAAUGGUUGUGUAUGGAUAUGAUGAAAUGGCAAUAAUGUUUUGUGACACCCAGUCUGAUCUUCGUGAUUGAUUUGCCAUAUUUUCUGAUCCUAAUUCUUCUUCAGUUUUGUGAAUUUUGAUUCAAAGUUUUGAUCUUUGAAAGGGAGGAAUGAGGAUGUAAUUCCAUACGUCUGCAAAUCUGAAAUACAGUGUUGAUACAAUGACAUGCACUACCAUCUGACCUCUGUUUUCUUGUUUUUGUUUUUGUUUUCAAUACCCUUUUGUUAGUUGUCUGCAAUCAGUGAUGAAAUUAUGUCAAAUUCAAUGAUUAUACAAUGAUUAUUAUAAUCACUAGAUCACCAUCUUUCGGCUGAGAUUGCUGUUUCUUCUUUUUUGGAAUUAUUGUUUGUGUUAUUGUUGACGAUUUGCCUAUGGUAUCUGAUGUCCAAAGUUUGAUAAUUGUGUUUGGACAUUUCGUUUUUCUUAGGCAGAAAGUGAUUUCAGGCUUUGCGACACUGUUAGCUUAUCACAUAAGCUACCUGUUACUUUUAAUACCUGGUUACAUCUAUAUAUCAAUCUUUGGUUUGGUUUGGGUUUUAACAUCAUUGCUCCUUUUGUUUUUCGUAUCAUCUUGUGUUUUUAUGUGGUCUUGUGCAGGAUUUGUUGGCUUGUUCUCUUGGUGUAGGAUUGGCUUCUAAUGCGGAUGAUAUGCUUACUACGAGCAACUUCAAUCGGUCUCAAGAAUCAAAAUUGUCUGUUGUUUAAUGUUGUAUUUGAUGGACGAAUCUAGUCUUCUAAGACUAUGUAAUGUAAUCUCUUAACCCAAUAAAGAAAAUUAUCAACUUAGCAAUAUUCAUUGUCUAACUUAUUUUCAUAAAAUGGCAAAGAUACUGAAGUUGAUUUCCAGAUGAUGAGACACUCUAAAAGAGAGACAAACAUGAUAUCUUGUAUUUCUGUAAUGAUCUGACUAAUCUAAUAAUACAGUAGAAUCAUUACAAACAAAGAAGAAAUGGCUUGAUUUUGAUUCUCUAAAAUACAAGCCGAGUACUACUAUGUUCUUGAAGUUGAAAAGAGCAUGGUAAAGAACAUCUAGUACUAGAGAUUGACGUUAUAAGAGCCUUUUCUGUGUCUCCAUCCAUUCGUCUUUGGACCAAUCUGAUGAGAUACUCCAAGAAAACCGAAUCGAAUGGCAAUGUGAUUGGUCCUUCCGUGGGGAUGCCAAACUCUUCUUCGGAUAUCUUCAAGAGCUCUUGGAUAACAGAGUUGCUCAGAUAACUUAUUGGAAAAGCAAAGCGGAUUCUAUCGGAUGUGUAAACCACAAAACAGCCCUUCUCUGCAGCGGUUGAGCUGCUAGUAGUAUCAGUUGAUCUAUGAAAAGAGAUUCUUUUCCUUCUUAAGGCAGCUCUCUGUUGCCAUUUCUUGGCCAUCUUCAAGAGCUUCUUUGUGUUCAUCAUUAUAUUUAGGGAAAAGCUGUUUAAGAUUGGAAAGAGGAAGAGAUGUGCAAAUUGUGUUGUAUAACGUAACUCUUUGAAUGCAAGUUGUGGUUGAUGAAGAAUCCAAUAGGCUUGUUGCAUGAUAUAUAUAAGGAGAAACUAUUAGAGUUUAGAUUCACUUAAGAGAAACCACACCAGACAUAAGACAUGCGUCUGUCUUUGUCUUUGUUUUAUAUGUGAUGAUCAUAAGGGGUCCCUAAGUUGUAACCAAUCUUGUCUACUCACAACAUGUGGAUUAGAAACCUCUCCUGAAAAUACUUGACCAUGUGGAUUUAGGUAUGAGUCACUUAUACAAUAGUAUUACUAUUAAAUUUAGACACAGACAUGUGCAAGUGAAUGAAAGAUGCAGAACUUGUAGACCCUUUGACGUUUACAGAGAAGUUAGAACCCUAAACUUACAGAAAAUUCAAUGGUUGUUAAUAGCUCUCUAGAUGAGUGAAAAAGUUUCAUCAAGUUAAUAUUUUGUAGAAUAAUUGGAACCUUCUUUGAACAUACAAGCAAGUGUUCUCUUUUCUCUUCUCACUGUGACAGAUUAAGUAAGUUCAAAUUAUAAGAACAUCUCUUGUUCUUGUGCAAUCUUCUGUGCCUUAACAGAGAUUCAUAUGGACAUACGAUGAUUCAUAGUGAAGUACAGUAUAUUUCAUUAAUAUGGCUUGAGUAUUCAGAGAUUUAUAUGAAACUGUCAGAACAAGUGAUUUUUGAAGUUGGGAUAAAGUUUCCAUUUAUAUGGAAGGUCAUUUUUGAAUUUUUAUGAGACAACUUAAAUGAGAGACCAAAUAAGAAUAGUUUGUAUUCUGAAACAAUUAAGCUGUCUAAUCUAUAAACUCUACAAAAUACAGAAAUUUGCGAAACUCUAAAACACAAGCAACUGUUGAGUAGCACUACAAUGUUGUUGUGGUUGAAAAGAGCUUCUAGCACUUGAGAUUGACAAUAACAGAGCCUUUUCUGUAUCUUCAUCCAUUCGUCUUUGGAUCAGAUUGAUGAGAUACUCUAAAAAGGCCGAAUCGAAUGGCAAUGUGAUUGGUCCUUCCGUCGGGAGACCGAACUCUUCUUCAGAUAUUUUCAAGAGCUCUUGGACAAUAGUGUUGCUUAGGUAACUUAAGGGAAAUGAAAAACGGAUCUUAUCAGCCGUGUAAACCACGAAACAACCCUUUUCUACAGCUGUUUGGCUGCUAGUAGUAAUACUUGAUCUCUGAAAUGAAAUUCUUUUUCUCUUGAGGGCUGCUCUUUGUUGCCAUUUCUUGGCCAACUUCAUGAGCUUCUUUGCGUUUAUCAUCAUUUUCAGGGAGAGUUAAAGCUUGAGAUUGGAAAGCAAGGUGGAGAAGGAAAGAGAUAAGAUUGGUGAGUUCUGUUUGUAUAGAUCUCUUUGAAUAAAAGUUCUGGUUGAUGAGGAAUACCAAUAAGCUUUGUUUCAUUAUAUAGAAGGAGAAACUAUUAGGUUAAGACAAGCUCCUGAGCAAUCCAACCAGACACAACACAUGAUUAUGUUUCUAAUCUAUGGUCCCAAGUUGGUAAUCAAUUAUGUCUGCAUUCAACUAGUGGACUAUAGAUAACUUGUGGUUAGAAGACAUGAUCAUGUGGGUAUAAAUUUCCUAUAUGGACAUUUAUAUGACAAGAUUUAGGUACUGAGACAUUAUUGAAGAAUGCAAGAGGCUGUUGAUACUUGGUUAGUAGUCCUGGACAUCUAAAUCAAAUGUGAGUCACAAAAAUAAUAGAUCAAAUAUAUAUUCAGGGGACAUCAAAUCUUUUUUGUGAAGUCAAGGACCAAAAAAAGUGGUUAGAAUUAAUGGUCACUGAUAUAGAUGGAUACAAUUUGCAUCAGACAAGGAAAGACAUGAGCUGGUGAAGCCAAGAUGAAGAGCAUGUAGGUCCUUAGAUUUUCUGGCCAGAAGAAAAAUCAUCGAUUUAACCAUACUUCUGUUUUAUAGGGAAAAUUUAUGAAAUGCGGUGAAUGAAAUUUUUUGGUUUCAGAGAAAAACAGUUGGAAGAAACCGUCACAUUAACUGAUGUUGAAGUUAUCUCUAUAGUCCACUAGUUAAUAUUUUGUUGAUCAAAUAAUUUUGGUGCGUACGUAACGUAAGGGUUCAGUGUCAUUAAAUUUUGUAACGACUUACAACUUACAUGUUACAAAGAUGCUAGAAGUAUCGUUGAUACAUGCAUUAGCUGUCUGCUGCUUAUACAUGUCACAAAGUACUUUCCUCUGUUCAUCAAUCAGGUUUUGGACUUUUCCCAUUUCUUUGGAUUUCAAGUCAAGCUGUUCACUAGAGAUGUUGAUCAGAUUGUUCAAUUUUUUCUUAAGCAUGACUUUUGUUAAGACUCCAGUUAUUCAUCCACAGCCGGAAGCUGCUUACCAGAUUCUUCAAUUUUGGAAAGAAUCAGUAACAAAUUUUUCUUCUUUCUAUUUCUUACAUGCUGAAACCAUACAUGUAGUAAAUAGUAAAUGUAUAAAGUUCAAGAUAUAUAUAAGAGUUUUCAAUUACUCUCAAUAAUGGAAUAUAUGAAGUUAGUGAAUUUUGAAUUUUUGUGAAACAACUUAAAUGAGAGACAAAAUAAGAAUAGUUUGUAUUUCUGAAAUGAUCUGUCUAUCUAAUCCACUAUAAACUUUACAGAAAUUUGCUAAACUCUAAAAUACAAGCAACUGUUGCGUAGUACUACAUUGUUGUUCUUGUGGUUGAAAAGAGCAUCUAGCACUUGAGAUUGACAAUAACAAAGCCUUUUCUGUAUCUUCAUCCAUUCGUCUUUGGAUCAGUUUGACGAGAUACUCUAAAAAGGCCGAAUCGAAUGGUAAUGUGAUUGGUCCUUCCGUUGGGAGACCGAAAUCUUCUUCAGAUAUUUUCAAUAGCUCCUGGACAACAGAGUUGCUCAGAUAACUUAUUGGAAAAGCAAAGCGGAUUUUAUCCGCCGUGUAAACCACGAAACAACCCUUUUCUACAGUAGAAGAGCUGCUAGUAAAGACACUUGAUCUCUGAAAUGAGAUUCUUUUCCUGUGGAGGGCUGCUCUUUGUUGCCAUUUCUUAGCCAUCUUCAUAAGCUUCUUUGCGUUUAUCAUCAUUUUCAGGGAGAGUUAAAGCUUGAGAUUGGAAAGCAAAGUGUGGAGAAAGAAAGAGAAAAGAUAUGUGAGUUCUGUUUGAAAAGCUCUUUGAAUGAAAGUUAUGGUUGAUGAAGAGUACCAAUAAGCUUGUUUCAUUAUAUAGAAGGAGAAACUAUUAGGUUUAGACAAGCUCCUGAGCAAUCUAACCCGACACAACACAUGCUUAUGUUUCUACUCUGUAAGGGUCCCAAGUUGGUAAUCAAUUAUGUCAGCUAAUCAACUUGUGGACUAUACAACUUAUGGUGAGAAGACAUGAUCAUGUGGGUAUGAACCCUAUAUGGACGUUUAUAUGACAAGAGUUAGGUACUUAGAUUGAUGAAGAAGAAUGCAAGAGGCUGUUGUUACAUUAUAUUAUGUAUAUGCAAUAGAAGCCAAAAAAAUGUCAAACUCAAGGUCUCAGGUUGGUUAGUGGUCCAUCAGCUGAAUCAAAUGUGAGUCACAAAUAUAAUGGAUCAAGUACUUAUUCAGGGGACAACAAAUCUGGUUGAAAUUAAUGAUCCGAUAGAGAGAUACAAAGAAAGGCAUGUGCUGGUGGAGCAAAGAUGAAGAGCAUGUAGGUCCUUAGAUUUUCUGGCAAAGAAAAAGACAGUGAGUCAACUAUUCCUGCUAAACUUUCACAUUUCCUUGAGAUAGAUUAAGCUUGGAUCAUAAAAACAUCUCUUGUUUUUAUUACUUUUAAGAGAUUCAUAAGGAAAAAAUGACGAAUGAAAGUUAAGGCACCAUUUUUUAUGACUGAGAGUUGCAGAGCAUAACAGUUAUAGAACCUUCACAACAUGUCAAGAAGUUGAAGUUAUCUCAUUUUUCUCUGUGUACAAUGAAAGUUGACUUUGAUGAGGCAGUCUAAAAGAUAGACAUAAAGAAUAGUUUGUAUUUCUGAAAUAUUCUGUCUAAUCUAAUAAAGUAGAAUCUUUACAAACACAAAAACUGCUACACACGAAUUCUCUAAAAUACAAGCAAUUGUUGAGUACUACGUUCUUGUAGUUUCAAAGAGCAUUGGGAAGAACAUCUAGCACUAGAGAUUGACAUUAACAAAGCCUUUUCUGUGUCUGCAUCCAUUCGUCUUUGGACCAAUUUGAUGAGAUACUCCAAGAAAACUGAAUCGAAUGGCGAUGUGAUAGGUCCACCAGUUGGGAGGCCAAACUCUUCUUCAGAGAUCUUCAAGAGUUCUUGGAAAACAGAGUUACUCAGGUAACUUAGCGGAAAAGCAAAGCGUGUGCUGUCUGUCGUGUAAACCACAAAACAACCCUUCUCUGCAGCGGUUGAGCUAGUAGCACUACUUGAUCUUUGAAAUGAGAUCCUUUUCCUGUGGAGGGCUGCUCUUUGUUGCCACUUCUUGGCCAUCUUGAUUAGCUUUUUUGUGUUCAUCAUUCUUUUCAGGAAAAUAUUUUGUAGAUCCGAAAGCAGAAGGAGAUUUUAACUUGUGUUGUAGAACUCUUUGAAUGCAAGUUAUGAUUGGUGAAGAUUCCCACAGGCUUGUUUCAUUAUAUAUAAGGAGAAACUAUUAUUGUUUUAGAGCAACCAAGCCAGACAGAAACACAUGCCAGGUUUCUUGUUAGUGAUCAUAAGGGUCCCAAGUUAGCAAUCAAUCUUAUUUCAAAUCAACUUGUGGAUUAAAACAUACAUGGUGAGAACUGAGAAGACAUGACCAUGUGAGUAUGAAUCUUGUAAUAAGAACGUUCAUAUGUCACGAUUUAGCUGAUACAAAGGCAUUCAAUAUUCAAUUAAAACCCUUUGAUGUUCCCAGGGAAGUAAAAUCUCUUAACCUGCAGAAACUUCAACGGUUCCUAAGGGUCUCAACUUAUUAAUAAACUAUGUCUGCAAAUCAACUUGUGGACUAUACAACUUCUUCAUGUGGGUAUGAAUACUUUAUGAACCUUUAUAUGACAAGAUUUAGGUACUAUUAUAUUGAUGGAGAAUGCAAGAGGCUGCUGUUACAGUAUAUACAUAAUGAGAACUUAUACAUUACAAGAGAAGCCAAAAAUUACCAAACUCUUGCAUCUGUACAGAUUUGUUUGUUAGCAUAAGGGGUCCAUCGGCUAAAUCAAAUGUUUGUCACAAAGAUAAUAGAUGAAGUACUUAUUACUCAGGGGACAACAAAUCUUUUGGUGAAAUCAAGGACAACAAAUGUGGUUAGAAGUAAUGAUCAAUUAGAUACAAAAGAAAGGCAUGUGCUGAUGAAGCAAGGAUGAAGAGCAUGUAGGUCCAUAAAAUACAGCUACAAUUUCUGGUAAAAUUUCAUAUGUUCUUGUGUAGUCUAUGAGAAACUUGAUGUAAGGUAAUUCGUAGUGAAAGGCGUUUUACUCCCGCUGCAUCAUUUUUCUUGAAAGAUAGUAUCAGAGUAUAUAUGUCUUCAAAGAAGGAGAUAUGUUUUAGUGAAAUGGGUCAAAGAUUGUUCUUAAGACCUUAGGCUGAAACUGCGAGAACAUGUGACAUUGAAGUUAAAUUUAGAUGAGACAAUCUAAACGAGUGAGAGAGAGACAAAUAUAUAGUAGUUUGUAUUUUUGAAAUGAUCUGUCUAUCUAAUACAGUAUAAUUUUUUACAGAGGAAAAAAUGUCUACACUCUAAUUCUCUAAAAUACAAGUAAUUGUUGGGUAUAACCACUCUGUUGUUCUUGUGGUUGCAUAGAGCAUCUAGCACUAGAGAUUGACAUUAAAAGAGCUUUUUCUGUAUCUCCAUCCAUUCUUCGUUCGAUAAAUUUGAUGAGAUACUCCAAGAAAACCGAGUCGAACGGCAACGUGAUUGGUCCACCCGCCCUGAGGCCGAACUCUUCUUCAGAUAUCUUCAAGAGCUCUUCGAAAACAGAGUUGUUCAAGUAACUUAACGGAAAAGCAAAGCGGAUUUUAUCAACCGUGUAAACCACGAAACAGCCCUUCUCCACAGCAGUUGAGCUGCUAGUAGUAGUAGUAGUAGUAGUAGUAGUAGUAGUUGAUCUUUGGAAUGAGAUUCUUUUCCUCUUGAGGGCAGCUCUUUGUUGCCAUUUCUUGGCCAUCUUGAGUAGUUUCUUAGUGUUGAUCAUCUUUACUAAUAGAAAGAGAGCAAACAAAAAAGGGAUUGUAAGUUGUGUUGUAGUAUAAAUCUCUGAAGUAAUGAAAGUGGUGAAUGAUGAAGAAUGCUCUAAGCUUUGUUGCAUUUUAUAUAUAAAGAGAAAGUAUUAGAGUUUUAGAUAUAAUUAAGAGCAACCAAAGAAGACAGAAACACAUGCUCUUGUAGUUCUUGUCUAAAGAGGUCCCAAACUAGUAAUCAAUCAUAUCUGCUAAAUCAAUUUGUGGAUUAGAAACCAUUAACAUGGUGAGAAGAAACAUGACCAUGUGGGGGUAUUAAAUCAAUGUUACAAAGACAUUUGAAGGUGAAAGAAAAGAUGCGGGUCCUCUCAUGUUCUCAGAGAUGUAAAAAAACCUUAAACCUAGAGAAAUUUUUGGAAUACCGGUUUAAUUAAAUGUAAACCGAACUGAACCGAAAACCCUUAUUAGCUACCUGUGAACUGCCUCUUAUAUAAAGCCGUCGCUGACAAUCUCAUAGGAGACUCGAGAGAGUCCUAAACUUUCAAAACUAGUGAUUAUCUUCGAGUCAUGUCAUGUUAGCGUUUAGGGGUUUUGUGUGUCUAUCCACAUGUUUUCUGCUUCUAUAUAAACCCUAACGCUCUCGAUACUCUAGUUGUUGUGUAAGUAGGUGUUGUUUUGUGUCUAUGUUUCUUCGUUAGCUCAGAUUGAGGAAAGUGAUGAUAAGGAAUUGUCGCCCCAGGCUUAAUCUGCAUCCAUUACGAUGGUUGUAACAUGGUGAUUGACUAUCUCUGUCUGAUUCUUCGAAUCUUUUCUUAGAUUGUUUUAUAAUGUUUGUGAAUGGAUAUGACGAAAUGGCAAUAAUGUUUUGUGACACCCAGUCUGAUCUUCGUGAUUGAUCUGCCAUAUUUUCUGAUCCUAAUUCUUCUUCAGUUUUGUGGAUUUUGAUUCAAAGUUUUGAUUUUUGAAAGGGAGGGAUGAGGAUAUAAUUCCAUACGUCUGCAAAUCUGAAACACAGUGUUGAUACAAUUGACAUGCACUACCAUCUGACCUCUGUUUUAUUGUUGUUUUCAAUACCCUUUUGUUAGUUGUCUGCAAUCAGUGAUGAAAUUAUGUCAAAUUCAAUGAUUAUACAAUGAUUAUUAUAAUCACUAGAUCACCAUCUUUCGGCUGAGAUUGCAGUUUUUCUUUUUUGGAAUUAUUGUUUGUGUUAUUGUUGACGAUUUGCCUAUGGUAUCUGAUGUCCAAAGUUUGAUAAUUGUGUUUGGACAUUUCGUUUUUCUUAGGCAGAAAGUGAUUUCAGGCUUUGCGACACUGUUAGCUUAUCACAUAAGCUACCUGUUACUUUUAAUACCUGGUUACAUCCUAUUUUUCAAUAUCAAUGUUGUUUUCGUUUUGUUUAUAUUCCAUCUUG